rnacentral:lncRNA from 1 species
CAAAGAGAGAAAUACAGGCUCUACUGCUUUUCACGUCCGAUGUGAAAUAUGUUUAUAUAAAUAUGAUGUAUGACGAUCCCCAGCUUAGCACAAAAGGAACGUGACAGGAGGAACGUCGCUGGAUCCUUUUUAUGGAUCCUUUUUUACUUUCUCCCAGUCUUCUAUACAAAAAUAUGUAAUGAUUUAAUGACAGCAUUAUUAAAACUAUCUUCAUUUAUAUUUUGCGACAUUAUACACUCACCGGCCACUUCAUUAGGUACACCUUGCCAGCACCACGUUGGACCAUAUUUCCUUCUGUAGUUUAAAUUUUUUCACUCAGCAGCACUUUCUUUCUACAGAUUUAUUGAGACAUAUUUUAUUUCACAUUCUUGUGUGUUUGUGGCAGUCAUUAUGUAAUUUUUUUUUUCCGAAAUCAAUGAAGUGCCUUAAUUCUCAAAGCAUAGAUCCAGCAAGAUGACAGAAACAUUCCUUACAAUUUUGGGUUCAAAUUGACGUGAUAGCAUCAUGCAUUUCCUACAGAUUUUAUGGCUGCACAUCCAUGAUUCAAACCUCUCGUCACACCACAUCAGAAAGAUGUCUGAUUGGAUUGAGAUCUGGUGAUUGUGGAGGCCACUGCAGUGCUGUCAACUCACUUUCAUGAUCAGAAAACCAGUUUAAUUUGGAUGGUUUUAAGCACAAAUAUUCAACUGGAAGUUCAAUGGCCAAUUGGCAAUGCAAUUUUCAAUUAGUGCAUGUAAACUGAUGUAAUCCUUAGAUCAUUUCAAGUAUUUUGCUGCUGUUGCCCUGAGCAUGGUUUCUUUCAGGCAUCCAGCACAAGAUUGAUUCCUCACCAGUGUCAUGCUCUCUGUAAGAAAAAACUGUGACAAUUUCUCAGAGGAAUUAGCUGACUGUUGUAAACAUCAUGUAGUUACACCACCACUCACUACUACACCACCACUCACCUCAAUCUGAUCUGUAUUCAACCAAGAGCAUAUUCCACUUUUAGGUCUAGAUGCCCUUGGUCAUUCCACAACAUGGAACACUUCCUGGUUGUAUAGUGGUGAGCAUACCUGCCUUCCAAGCAGUUGACCCGAUUCGAUUCUUGGCCCAGGUAUUUAUACUAGUUCUACUGGCUUUCUGUGGAUAGAGGUGGUAACUACUGCAGCCAGGUUUCUCUGCCUGUUGGUGAGAGAAUCCUUGGUUUUCUGACAUUCAGUUCCAGACAUGAGGUGUCACACCAGUCCACAAACUCCUGCAGAAGCAGACCAUGGUUUUGUGAGGGGCCUGGCAGCAGGUGUCUGUGCCUGCAGUCAUCUGUGUAUAAGAUGAAAGGACACAGCCUUGAGGUGACCAGGUGGAGGUAUAACGGAGGUCAGAGACAGAUUUGUUAACCAGUACGCUCUGUGAUCUGUUGGUCAGAAAGUUCAAUAUCCACAGGAUUGUCUGGUUGAAUAGAUGAAAGUUGGAGGAAAGUUUAUUAGCCAGGAUGUGGGGUUGCAGGGUGUUGAAAGUUGAGGACAGGUCAGCAAAUAAGUGUCUUGGGGAAGAAAUACAUUUAUGCAUACAAAGAAAUUAGAUCAUCGUUAGUCAUUUAGACAGUAAUUUAUACAUUUCUGAUUUUUCAUGUAGAUGCACAAAUCAAUACUGAUGGCAGGAUCCUGACUAGAGCUUAAUACUUGAAAUGUCAUUGUUUACUGUGUCCACCAACACUAUUUAAACCUGAACCACUAGUCCAUCUUAAAAGGUUAUGUUUUAUUACUUAUUAUGGUUAUAGUUUAUUACUUUUUUAACAUCAAUGUACAAUUAGAUAACUGACUUUGCUAACUUCUCUUUGUUCUCUGCUCAAAGGAUUUAAAAUCUGCAGAUGAAACCUCAAGUGCAGAACCCAGAGACAAUGAGUCUCAAAAAUUAAUAAACUUAUCAAAAUCUGUUAGUGUUUAACA